rnacentral:rRNA from 1 species
UACAGAGGUCCCAAGCGUUGUUCGGAUUCACUGGGCGUAAAGGGCGCGUAGGCGGCGGGGUAAGUCGGGUGUGAAAUCUCAGAGCUCAACUCUGAAACUGCACUCGAUACUGCUCUGCUUGAGGACUGGAGAGGAGACUGGAAUUCACGGUGUAGCAGUGAAAUGCGUAGAUAUCGUGAGGAAGACCAGUGGCGAAGGCGGGUCUCUGGACAGUUCCUGACGCUGAGGCGCGAAGGCCAGGGGAGCAAACGGG